rnacentral:rRNA from 1 species
UGGGGAAUCUUAGGCAAUGGGGGAAACCCUGAUCUAGCCAUGCCGCGUGAGUGACGAAGGCCCUAGGGUCGUAAAGCUCUUUCGCCAGGGAAGAUAAUGACGGUACCUGGUAAAGAAGUCCCGGCUAACUCCGUGCCAGCAGCCGCGGUAAUACGGAGGAUGCAAGCGUUAUCCGGAAUGAUUGGGCGUAAAGCGUCCGCAGGUGGUGAUGCAAGUCUGCUGUUAAAGAGUGUAGCUUAACUACAUAAAGGCGGUGGAAACUGCACCACUAGAGUACGUUCGGGGCAGAGGGAAUUCCUGGUGUAGCGGUGAAAUGCGUAGAUAUCAGGAAGAACACCGGUGGCGAAAGCGCUCUGCUGGGCCGUAACUGACACUGGGGGACGAAAGCUAGGGGAGCGAAUGGGAUUAGAUACCCCCGUAGUCC